rnacentral:miRNA from 1 species
UACCUCAUUGAUUGGAAGGAAUUCCUUCUGUCAAUGAGGAUGUUAUACCUCAUCGGCCGGAAGGGAUUUCUUCCGGUCAAUGAGGUAUAACAUCCUCAUUGACGGAAGGAAUCCCUUCCAAUCAAUGAGGUA